CUACGGGCCGCUGCAGUGAGGAAUAUUGCGCAAUGGGGGGAACCCUGACGCAGCGACGCCGCGUGAGUGAGGAAGGCCCUCGGGUCGUAAAGCUCUGUCAAGAGGAAAGAAGUGCAUAGUAGUUAAUACCUGCUAUGUUUGACGGUACCUCUAAAGGAAGCACCGGCUAACUCCGUGCCAGCAGCCGCGGUAAUACGGAGGGUGCAAGCGUUGUUCGGAAUCACUGGGCGUAAAGGGCGCGCAGGCGGCCUGGUAAGUCAGAUGUGAAAGCCCACGGCUUAACCGUGGAAGUGCAUUUGAAACUGUCAGGCUUGAGUACCAGAGGGGAAAGUGGAAUUCCCGGUGUAGAGGUGAAAUUCGUAGAUAUCGGGAGGAAUACCGGUGGCGAAGGCGACUUUCUGGCUGAGUACUGACGCUGAGGCGCGAAAGCGUGGGGAGCAAACAGGAUUAGAUACCCUCGUAGUC
rnacentral:rRNA from 1 species